UACGUAGGGUGCAGGCGUUAAUCGGAAUUACUGGGCGUAAAGAGCUCGUAGGCGGUUUGUCGCGUCUGCUGUGAAAACUGGAGGCUCAACCUCCAGCCUGCAGUGGGUACGGGCAGACUAGAGUGCGGUAGGGGAGAUUGGAACUCCUGGUGUAGCGGUGGAAUGCGCAGAUAUCAGGAAGAACACCGAUGGCGAAGGCAGAUCUCUGGGCCGUAACUGACGCUGAGGAGCGAAAGCGUGGGGAGCGAACAGG
rnacentral:rRNA from 1 species